GUGAUCUAAAUUCUGUUCUAAACUGAUUGAAGAGUUCUAAGGUUCAAGCAAAGGUCUUGGGGUUCUGCAUCACGCAAUGAAGGAGAGGAAAGUUAGAAAGAGAGAGAGAGAAAGAGAGAGAGAGAGAGAGAGAAUAGAAAAACAGAGAAAAAGGGUGCCUACCUAACAGAAGUGACAGAAUUUGAGGGAACUUGGGUGCUUUUCCUUGAGGAAACUCUGUGCAAAUUGUGAGAAGAAGGGCGAGGAAGGAAGAAUAAAAAAAAAGGGAUAAAAGGAGGGAGAAAGCUCAUAACGAGCACAAGGGAACCUGCGAGCUUAAGGUAAGG
rnacentral:lncRNA from 1 species